GUGCUCGCUUUGGCAGCACAUAUACUAAAACUGGAACGAUACAGAGAAGAUUAGCAUGACCCCUGAGCAAAAAUGACAUGCAAAUCUGUGAAGUGUUCUAUUAUUUU